GGGUUGUGAGGUUAAGUGACUAAGCGUACACGGUGGAUGCCUAGGCAGUCAGAGGCGAUGAAGGGCGUGCUAAUCUGCGAAAAGCGUCGGUAAGGUGAUAUGAACCGUUACAACCGGCGAUACCCGAAUGGGGAAACCCAGUGUGUUUCGACACACUAUCAUGUCAUGAAUACAUAGUGGCAUGAGGCGAACCGGGGGAACUGAAACAUCUAAGUACCCCGAGGAAAAGAAAUCAACCGAGAUUCCCCCAGUAGCGGCGAGCGAACGGGGAGGAGCCCAGAACCUGAAUCGGCUUGUGUGUUAGUGGAAGCGUCUGGAAAGUCGCGCAGCAAAGGGUGAUAGCCCCGUACACUAAAAUGCACAGGUCGUGAGUUCGAUGAGUAGGGCGGGACACGUGACAUCCUGUCUGAAUAUGGGGGGACCAUCCUCCAAGGCUAAAUACUCCUGACUGACCGAUAGUGAACCAGUACCGUGAGGGAAAGGCGAAAAGAACCCCGGCGAGGGGAGUGAAAUAGAACCUGAAACCGUGUACGUACAAGCAGUGGGAGCACCUUCGUGGUGUGACUGCGUACCUUUUGUAUAAUGGGUCAGCGACUUAUAUUUUGUAGCAAGGUUAACCGUAUAGGGGAGCCGUAGGGAAACCGAGUCUUAACUGGGCGAAUAGUUGCAAGGUAUAGACCCGAAACCCGGUGAUCUAGCCAUGGGCAGGUUGAAGGUUGGGUAACACUAACUGGAGGACCGAACCGACUAAUGUUGAAAAAUUAGCGGAUGACUUGUGGCUGGGGGUGAAAGGCCAAUCAAACCGGGAGAUAGCUGGUUCUCCCCGAAAGCUAUUUAGGUAGCGCCUCGUGAACUCAUCUUCGGGGGUAGAGCACUGUUUCGGCUAGGGGGCCAUCCCGGCUUACCAAACCGAUGCAAACUCCGAAUACCGAAGAAUGUUAUCACGGGAGACACACGGCGGGUGCUAACGUCCGUCGUGAAGAGGGAAACAACCCAGACCGCCAGCUAAGGUCCCAAAGUCAUGGUUAAGUGGGAAACGAUGUGGGAAGGCAUAGACAGCCAGGAUGUUGGCUUAGAAGCAGCCAUCAUUUAAAGAAAGCGUAAUAGCUCACUGGUCGAGUCGGCCUGCGCGGAAGAUGUAACGGGGCUAAACCAUGCACCGAAGCUGCGGCAGCGACGCUUAGGCGUUGUUGGGUAGGGGAGCGUUCUGUAAGCCGUUGAAGGUGGCCUGUGAGGGUUGCUGGAGGUAUCAGAAGUGCGAAUGCUGACAUAAGUAACGAUAAAGCGGGUGAAAAGCCCGCUCGCCGGAAGACCAAGGGUUCCUGUCCAACGUUAAUCGGGGCAGGGUGAGUCGACCCCUAAGGCGAGGCUGAAAAGCGUAGUCGAUGGGAAACAGGUUAAUAUUCCUGUACUUGGUGUUACUGCGAAGGGGGGACGGAGAAGGCUAGGCCGGGCGACGGUUGUCCCGGUUUAAGCGUGUAGGGGUGUGACCUGGUAAAUCCGGUUGCAUACUAACCCUGAGGCGUGAUGACGAUGCACUACGGUGCAGAAGUAGUUGAUGCCCUGCUUCCAGGAAAAGCCUCUAAGCUCUAGGUAACAUUGAAUCGUACCCCAAACCGACACAGGUGGUCAGGUAGAGAAUACCAAGGCGCUUGAGAGAACUCGGGUGAAGGAACUAGGCAAAAUGGUGCCGUAACUUCGGGAGAAGGCACGCUGGCAUGUAGGUGAAGUCCCUUGCGGAUGGAGCUGAAGCCAGUCGAAGAUACCAGCUGGCUGCAACUGUUUAAUAAAAACACAGCACUGUGCAAACACGAAAGUGGACGUAUACGGUGUGACGCCUGCCCGGUGCUGGAAGGUUAAUUGAUGGGGUCAGCCGCAAGGCGAAGCUCUUGAUCGAAGCCCCAGUAAACGGCGGCCGUAACUAUAACGGUCCUAAGGUAGCGAAAUUCCUUGUCGGGUAAGUUCCGACCUGCACGAAUGGCGUAAUGAUGGCCAGGCUGUCUCCACCCGAGACUCAGUGAAAUUGAACUCGCUGUGAAGAUGCAGUGUACCCGCGGCAAGACGGAAAGACCCCGUGAACCUUUACUAUAGCUUGACACUGAACAUUGAGCCUUGAUGUGUAGGAUAGGUGGGAGGCUUUGAAGCGUGGACGCCAGUCUGCGUGGAGCCAUCCUUGAAAUACCACCCUUUAAUGUUUGAUGUUCUAACUCGGCCCCAUAAUCUGGGGUGAGGACAGUGUCUGGUGGGUAGUUUGACUGGGGCGGUCUCCUCCCAAAGAGUAACGGAGGAGCACGAAGGUUAGCUAAUCACGGUCGGACAUCGUGAGGUUAGUGCAAAGGCAUAAGCUAGCUUGACUGCGAGAGUGACGGCUCGAGCAGGUACGAAAGUAGGUCUUAGUGAUCCGGUGGUUCUGAAUGGAAGGGCCAUCGCUCAACGGAUAAAAGGUACUCCGGGGAUAACAGGCUGAUACCGCCCAAGAGUUCAUAUCGACGGCGGUGUUUGGCACCUCGAUGUCGGCUCAUCACAUCCUGGGGCUGAAGUAGGUCCCAAGGGUAUGGCUGUUCGCCAUUUAAAGUGGUACGCGAGCUGGGUUUAGAACGUCGUGAGACAGUUCGGUCCCUAUCUGCCGUGGGCGUUGGAAGAUUGAGAGGGGUUGCUCCUAGUACGAGAGGACCGGAGUGAACGCACCACUGGUGUUCGGGUUGUCAUGCCAAUGGCAUUGCCCGGUAGCUAAGUGCGGAAAAGAUAAGCGCUGAAAGCAUCUAAGCGCGAAACUUGCCUCAAGAUGAGUCUUCCCUGGGCCUUUAAGGCCCCUGAAGGAACGUUUAAGACUAAGACGUUGAUAGGCUGGGUGUGUAAGUGCAGCGAUGCAUUGAGCUAACCAGUACUAAUGAUCCGUGAGGCUUAACCUUACAACACCGAAGGUGUUUUAG
rnacentral:rRNA from 1 species